rnacentral:lncRNA from 1 species
GUGUGUGUGGGGGAAAGAUGCAAAAACACCACCAAAAAAUGAAAAAUCACAGUUUGUUAGUAAUAAUAUAAUAUGUGGGAUAUAAUGGAGUACCACGUUGCUGUAUAACUGAUUUUACAUUUCUGUCCUUUCAGAACUUUCAAAAGAUUGUGGAAAUUGGGCACCAGCAUCAUUUUCAUCUAGCCAUUAGGUGAAAUAUCAAACCUCCUUACCUGUCCCUGGAAAUAGAUUCUUCGCUCCCACACUAAACUUCUGCAGGAAAAGUAUUAUUGUCCAAGUCAUGAUAACUCAGAAUAAGCAGUGCGUAAGGACAGUCUAAAUCAACUUCCAUUCGCCUGCCGUUCAGCGCUUUGGGACUCUUCGUCAGCAAGCUCCUUCUGACAGCUAUUUAUAGCUCAACAUUUCAGCAAGAUAAUUGCAGUAUUCAGAACAGGAAAAGACUGCUCUGUGAAAUUACAGAACUUCUCUCCUCUGAGUCAAAGGAGAAGUGGGGUUUGGAGGAAGGUGGAAAAGACAUGGAAAAUGUUCUUGGGAAGUCCAACAUCCUGAAGCACUGCAAAAUGAGCUGCAGCUGCUCUCCAAAGCUGAUACAAGGACACAGCAUAUCUCGGCAGCUCUCCAAAGCUCUCCAAAGCUGAUACAAGGACGCAACACAUCUCGGCAACAGAAUGCCAAUGUAAAAGUGACAUAUAUGACCAGCUGUAGUACAGAUCAACCCAGAACUGUGGCCAUUCCACAUGUUUUUUGCAGUAAAUAAAGCUUUCUGUCCCAGCA